rnacentral:lncRNA from 1 species
GCUGCUGACAUUCGCAGAACAAAACCCCGGCCAGCAUCUGCUCAGCCUCGCAACUUACGCUCUCCUCUGCGCCGUCCCCUUCGCCUUCUUCCUUGCAAUGCUCCUCUCGUUCCUCCACGCCGCCGAAGCGCCCCCGUCGACGGCGCCCGUCCUGGCCCUCGCCGCAGCGACUUUCAAUGCGGCGGCGGCCGCGGCGCUCCUCCUCGCAGCCGUCCUCUUCCUCCUCUUCUUCGCAUCCCUCGAUAAGCCCUCCGCGCUCGGGCAUUGGCCCCAGCUGCCUCCUCCGGACGGCGACGGCUUCCCUUGGUUCGCCGAAGAAUUUUGACACGUUUUUCCUCUCACUUAUGAGAAAG